CUGGGGCAAUUUUUUCUUUUCUAAUUUUCAAUUAAUAUUCUUAACCAAAAAUUAAAGGAUUAUUAGAUUAGGGAAUGGUUCACAUCUUCACUCCAUUUUAAUCACAAUUACCAAUGUUACAUCAGCUUUGAGGUGACAGGCCGAUGACAGACAUCGGUUAGUUCACAUCAAGAUUCUGAAUUGGUUCAAACAUUGUAGGAGAAAAAAGACUAUUGGUACAAUCUCUUCUAACAUGGAAGGCUUAACAUGUCUCAGCAGAUUCUGUGUCGAUGCCUGUCUCCGCAAAAGCUUCAAUUGCAGGUGUUACCCUUCUAAACUUAAACAAUUCUUAUUCCGAUCAAUGCUCUGCAACUGAUCCUCCCCAUUUCCUAACACGGCUCUCAGCUUCAUCUGCUUCUCUUUUCCAGUUAGUUAUUGAAGUGACUAUAAUCAAUAUUAUGGUCUGCAAACAAAUUCCUCCUAUCAUCCCUGACCAAAUACCCACGGCGCCAAAACCAAAUGUGAAUCCCAAGAGAAUGCCCGCCGGUAAUCCAACGAUGUAGUAACAAGCAAUGUUGAUGUAUGCAACAAGAGAUUGCCAUCCAGCUCCAACAGCAACGCCUGAUAAGACAGGCUGAAGGCUGUUUAGAAGCACAGUGAUUGCUAGCAAGGUAGCAAGUCUAGUAGUUUCAUUAGCAACUGCCUCACUGGUAGUGAAUAGGUAUGGGAAAUAGUCUCUUGUUGCAAAAACCACAGCCAUGCAAAUAACCCCUAUUGUGAUGGAUGUUACUGAAACUACUACCACUGAGAAUUUCGCAAGCCGAUGAUUACCAGCUCCAAGUUCAUUUGAUACUCUCACACUUAUGGCAGCAUUGAAUCCAAUAGCAAUCAUUGCAUCCCAUCCCUGUAUGUUCAUGCAUAUGGAAAUGGCAUCAACUGGUAUAAGGGGGUUAGGCAAACGACCAGUUACCACCACCAGUAUCAUCAAGUACCAAAACUCCAAGCAUAACAUGACAGCAGAUGCGAAAGAAAGCUUGACAAAACCCCACAAGUCUGCAAAUGCAAGCCAUGAGAAUCCAGACCAAGCGCCAUCUGACUUGGUAAUGAAAAUGUACAACAAUUGGCCUAUAACUAUAAGCCACCAUGAAGUGUUGAGGGUGAUUGCUGCUCCAGUUAAGCCCCAUCCAAGCUUCAGUAUUAGCAACCAGCUGAAAACUGCAUGCAACACCAGUACCACAGCAGACACCCAGGCCAUUACAAACACUUUCCUCUGUGAUUGCAAAAACUUCUGUAUGGGAAAAUUCAUUGCAUAUGCAAACAAUUGUGGAAGCAUCCACAGAGCAAAUUUCCCUGCAGCUUCAGAUAUCUGAGUAGUCUCUCCAAUGACUUCCAGAAUAGGAGGAGACCAAACAUAAAUUGGAACCAAUAAGCAGGCAGUGGUCAACAGAAUGACCCAUGAUCUCUGCAUAUAUAUGCCUAACAUUCUCAGCUGCCCCGCACCGUAGGCUUGCCCACAAAGCGUCUCCAAUGCACUACCCAUUCCCAACAUGACCCCGAAGGCGAGACCGGCAAUAACCGAGUUCUCAACGGAUACAGCAGCGAGCUCAACCUCACCAACAAGACCAGCAAAGGUCUGAGUAAGUGCACCCAGUGAAUACUGGCAAAUGGCAGUAAAGAUCGCUGGUCCUGCUAGCUUCCAUAGCCUCUUGGACUCUUCCCCAAAAUCUCUAAUAACGCUAAUAUGCUUUUGCUCUUGACGGCCACCAUUGGGAUUGCUAUCGAGAAGAGGAGUAUCUAUGGCCAUGGAUCACUUGUGCUUGCUAAAGCUCCUAGUCUGCUGCUGUCCUUGCAAUAAAAAAGAAUUGCUCUCAAUCUACUGCGAGUAUUUAAGACGUAAAGAAAAGGGGUUUAUCAAUAAAGAUUCUAUGAUGAUCUGUAGUUCUUAGUCAACCAGGUAGAGGUAGGUAUGAACUAGUUUAGCAUAGCUAGCCGCAUGGUGUUU
rnacentral:misc_RNA from 1 species